AUUGAACGCUGGCGGCUGGCUUAACGCAUGCAAGUCGAGCGGGGGAAGGUAGCUUGCUACCGGACCUAGCGGCGGACGGGUGAGUAAUGCUUAGGAAUCUGCCUAUUAGUGGGGGACAACAUCUCGAAAGGGAUGCUAAUACCGCAUACGUCCUACGGGAGAAAGCAGGGGAUCUUCGGACCUUGCGCUAAUAGAUGAGCCUAAGUCGGAUUAGCUAGUUGGUGGGGUAAAGGCCUACCAAGGCGACGAUCUGUAGCGGGUCUGAGAGGAUGAUCCGCCACACUGGGACUGAGACACGGCCCAGACUCCUACGGGAGGCAGCAGUGGGGAAUAUUGGACAAUGGGGGGAACCCUGAUCCAGCCAUGCCGCGUGUGUGAAGAAGGCCUUAUGGUUGUAAAGCACUUUAAGCGAGGAGGAGGCUACUCUAGUUAAUACCUAGGGAUAGUGGACGCUACUCGCAGAAUAAGCACCGGCUAACUCUGUGCCAGCAGCCGCCGUAA
rnacentral:rRNA from 1 species